rnacentral:lncRNA from 1 species
AUGAGAGCCCUCAUCGUCUUCUCCCUCCUGCUGCUGCUGUCGCUGACGAUUGCCUCUUCUAGCCCUGAGCCAGAGGCUGCUGAAGGCCAGAAGGUGCGCAAUCUGCCAGCAAAGAGGCAUCACAGAGGCAGAAGGCAGGAGUGCCAGUGUGAAGAUGUCUUCCAGAGCACUCCUGGAGGAAAGAGGGUCAGGAUUCCCAAGCAGCCCGCAAGGCAGUGCCCAUGUGACCAGCUCAAAUACAAACAGAAAAAAUCAGGCUCUGGGCAUCCGAGGCAUCUGAGACAAAGAUGCUUCCGGUUUCUGAAACAAUGUCAGCAAAGGCACAUUCUUCAGCCUCUGUCCGGCCCCCUCUGAGGGGCAGCGAGGGAAACGGAAAGCACCGGUGGGGCCGCCCCGAUCACCUGUGUGCCUGAAGCAAGGGGGACGUGCCUCCCGGGGACUCCGGACAUGGCCAAACCAGCACCCCGCAGCACCCUGGGGACCUUCAAUAAAGAUGAAAACAUUUCACCA